UGGUUAUAAUCCCCCCAAGUUUGUCAUCGAUGCAGCAAAGGAUGCCCUAGAUAGGGUCGAGUGCAACCAAUAUGCGCCCACAAAGGGUUCUCCCCGGCUCAGGAAAGCUAUUGCUGCCGCGUACUCGCCAUUUUUUGGUCGAGAACUCAACCCUGAUACAGAAGUGGCAAUCACUACAGGUGCCAAUGAGGGCAUGUUGAGUGCCUUCAUGGGAUUUAUUGAAGAAGG
rnacentral:sRNA from 2 species